rnacentral:piRNA from 1 species
UCCACUGAGGCUCCAUGACUCCCCGUGUC